rnacentral:rRNA from 1 species
GACGAACGCUGGCGGCGUGCUUAACACAUGCAAGUCGAACGGAAAGGCCCUGCUUGCAGGGUACUCGAGUGGCGAACGGGUGAGUAACACGUGGGUGAUCUGCCCUGCACUUCGGGAUAAGCCUGGGAAACUGGGUCUAAUACCGGAUAGGAGCCAUUUUUAGUGUGAUGGUUGGAAAGUUUUUUCGGUGUAGGAUGAGCUCGCGGCCUAUCAGCUUGUUGGUGGGGUAAUGGCCUACCAAGGCGGCGACGGGUAGCCGGCCUGAGAGGGUGGACGGCCACAUUGGGACUGAGAUACGGCCCAGACUCCUACGGGAGGCAGCUGUGGGGAAUAUUGCACAAUGGGCGCAAGCCUGAUGCAGCGACGCCGCGUGGGGGAUGACGGCCUUCGGGUUGUAAACUCCUUUCGCUAGGGACGAAGCUUUUUGUGACGGUACCUAGAUAAGAAGCACCGGCUAACUACGUG